rnacentral:lncRNA from 1 species
AAUCCGCCGGCUGGCGCCCCUGGAAUGGGGAGGUCGGCCGCCUGGCGGGGCCAGCGGUCCUUAGCGGUGCCUUCUCUCCCCUCUUCCCUCCGCUCCUGCUGUGCGGGAACUGGAGAAUCGUUAGGACGUGGAGGAAGCAGAGAAGUGGAUCAGAGAACAGGAGGGCUGGGAAGAGUCCUGGUUUCUCAAUCCUGACUGAGCAUCUGAAUCACCUGAGAAGCUACUAAAAUGCAGAUUCCCCGACCCCAUCCCCUUAGAGUCAGAGUCUGUGCAUUUAGGGUGCGGCCUUUCUCAGAGGGAUCGACUGAGACCUACUGAACCCUAGAAGUCUUUACCUGAGGCAGUUCCUGCAAUGUACUGUAUAUUUCAUGACAUUCCAUGUAAAAGAUGACAAGACCGAGACCGUUGAGUGACAGAGAUAAGAACUGACUUAUCUAAGGCUCCACAGGUGGUAGAUGGCAGAGCCGAGACCUGAGCCAAUUAUCUUUUCUCCUGCACUGUGCGGGGUAAUACAGCUCGUUUAAAACAAGCUGGAGUCUCCAUUCCGUUUUCCGCGUUGCUUCUCACAACUCACUGUUAGAAUCCAGAAGUAAGAGAACCCGGGGAAGCGUAAGGAAGAUGAAUAGGACAAAGAUUCUAAGAAGGUGGGAAGGAAGAAGGCUGCAGUCUAUUUCAAGUCUGGUGAAUUUCAAUCACUGUAGCCUUUAUUGUUAUUUUAGAGCCACCUAGACCAAAAGAGAAGGAGCUCAAAUUGCUGGUGAAAGAAGACUGCAGCUGAGUUCUAUUAUCAAAGCAAAGUGCUGUACUGUACUUGAAAUAACUCUAGCAAAUACUGUGCUUCCUGCACAGAACCUGUUGGAUUACUCACACAAAUGUCAAAGAACAGGUUGACAUUUUAGCAAGUUAUCAGCCUGGCCCAUAUAAAAAAAGACAUUUCUAGUUUUUACACUUUGCAGGGUUCAGAGAGCAGUUGAAUGUUAUUUUUAGUCUAUGAUCCAAAGCAGCUAAUGACAGAGUCUACCUUAGAAGAUAAACAGGCUUCUGAUUUAUAACACAAGGCUAAUGGUAGAUAUUGUGUGAUGUGUCCAGUUAAAUUAACGAAAUAGCUUUGCAACAGUGUGGAGUAAAGACUUAGGCUUAAAACAGAGAAUUUGAGGAUUGAGAUAAGUCCAGAGAAGCAGCAGGAUGGAGUGCAGAUGCAAGAGAAAGGCUAUGUCAAUGCCAUAUUAUAAAUAUAGCUCAUAGACAGCAUAUCCUAGUGUGUGUCUGAAGAGGCCUGUGCCCUUGAGGAAAGGGGAGAUUAUGACCUUGUCCCCCAGUGUCAUUUGCAUAAAUUCUUAGAGACCUUGGGGCAGUGAGUAGGAGACUGGUUGAGAUGAUUACUAUAGGAAAAUUGAAUAACUUAAAGUAUGGAUAUCUUACUGUUACAGGAAAUGCUUAGGAGGUGAGGUACUCUGAAUUUAGAAUAUGAUGGCCUAAGGGAUUCGGAGUCAAGAAGCAGGACAUGGGAUGAAGAUACAUCCACUGUCAAGCUGGUCAUUACGACAGGGAGAAAUAGCCCUCCACAGAGUGAGACUAGUGAGACUUGCAAGAAUUGAAUGAUGGUCCCGUUGGACGAAACUCUUUAGGGAGAUGAGUUUCUCACACCUGCACAAUGACAUCCUGUGGCUAUUAUCAGACAUAUCGGAGACCUUGGACCUUGUGUUGAUUUAUGUAGAGGAUUCCCUUUCCAGAGGAUAUGCUGGAUAAGUACAGCAAAUUGACUGCAACGCUCUAUAAAACAGAUCUUUCAUAUAUCUGUAAUAAAAUAACAGUGUACAUAUUUACCAUAAUGAGAAACUGCAUUUGCUUGAAGUAUAAUACAUUUUUAGUGUUAGUGGGCAGAGUAA